CCAAGGAGUCCAACAUGUGCGCGAGUCAUGGGGUCUUACGAAACCCAAAGGCGCAAUGAAAGUGAAGGCAGUCUCCGAUUGCCCAGGCAGGAUCCCGUCGUCCUCGUGGCGGCGGGCGCACUGCCGGCCCGUCUCAGCCGCAUCGUCGGCGAGGCGGAGCAAGAGCGCACACGUUGGGACCCGAAAGAUGGUGAACUAUGUCUGAGCAGGACGAAGUCAGAGGAAACUCUGAUGGAGGUCCGCAGCGAUUCUGACGUGCAAAUCGAUCGUCAAACUUGGAUAUAGGGGCGAAAGACUAAUCGAACCAUCUA
rnacentral:rRNA from 1 species